AACGAACGCUGGCGGCAUGCCUAACACAUGCAAGUCGAACGAGACCUUCGGGUCUAGUGGCGCACGGGUGCGUAACGCGUGGGAAUCUGCCCUUGGGUUCGGAAUAACAGUUGGAAACGACUGCUAAUACCGGAUGAUGACGUAAGUCCAAAGAUUUAUCGCCCAAGGAUGAGCCCGCGUAGGAUUAGCUAGUUGGUGAGGUAAAGGCUCACCAAGGCGACGAUCCUUAGCUGGUCUGAGAGGAUGAUCAGCCACACUGGGACUGAGACACGGCCCAGACUCCUACGGGAGGCAGCAGUGGGGAAUAUUGGACAAUGGGCGAAAGCCUGAUCCAGCAAUGCCGCGUGAGUGAUGAAGGCCUUAGGGCUGUAAAGCUCUUUUACCCGGGAUGAUAAUGACAGUACCGGGAGAAUAAGCGCCGGCUAACUCCGUG
rnacentral:rRNA from 1 species